AGUUGUGAUACACACGCAUGCUGUACGUCUGCAACUGAACUGAGCACUGGCCAUCCACUUCGGAAUUAUUUCAUUUCACUCGUUCAGCACCUAGCGAUAUCCUCUUUAGAUUACGAUCUUUUUCAUCUCAGCACUAUUACAGUCACGGCUGCGGCGUCAAGAAUGACAGCUCGUUGAAGGCGAACGGGAGCAAAGUUGUUCUCGCCUACGGCCCACAGCGACGGAGAUGAACAGCCUGCUGAAGUGAGGAAAAGGAGGGAAAAAAAAAGAAGCAUGCUGCUUUUGCGAAAACGAUUGUACCGUCUGAUGCGGCGUACCUUUCCUUCGCUGGAGUAUGCCGAUCAUGAGACGGUCAGAAGGCGGCUCAGCGUUGUUUACGCUAUCGUGGCCUGGCAGGGCUUUGCUCUCACCUUGUAUAUGAUCUUCCAUCGCAAGGCACCAAAAAAAGAGGAAGGAGUCGACUACAUGAAGCUCAUUGCAACAGCAGAGAAAGGGGCCGACAGCGGCACGCUUUUCACUCUCUACCAAGGCAAGGUUGCCAGGCAGAACAUUACUAAAGAAGGGCUGGCCAACAUCCGAGAAGGACCGGAAGAGACGUUGAAGGAAUGAAGCACCUGAGGCGGCGUUUGGCAUUGCAACAUAAUAGGGACAUACCAUAGACUUUGUGAAUACAUGAUGCAUCGUUGUCACGGAUGGAGUCGAAGCAUUUCCUGUACAACAUUUAUUGACACAAGCCAACAAGUGCAGGUUCAGGUGAACCUUGCUGCAUUAAACACUGAAUAAAGCCACAUUCUCAACCAAA